GAUGAACGCUGGCGGCGUGCCUAAUACAUGCAAGUCGAGCGAACAGACGAGGAGCUUGCUCCUCUGACGUUAGCGGCGGACGGGUGAGUAACACGUGGAUAACCUACCUAUAAGACUGGGAUAACUUCGGGAAACCGGAGCUAGUACCGGAUAAUAUAUUGAACCGCAUGGUUCAAUAGUGAAAGACGGUCUUGCUGUCACUUAUAGAUGGAUCCGCGCUGCAUUAGCUAGUUGGUAAGGUAACGGCUUACCAAGGCAACGAUGCGUAGCCGACCUGAGAGGGUGAUCGGCCACACUGGAACUGAGACACGGUCCAGACUCCUACGGGAGGCAGCAGUAGGGAAUCUUCCGCAAUGGGCGAAAGCCUGACGGAGCAACGCCGCGUGAGUGAUGAAGGUCUUCGGAUCGUAAAACUCUGUUAUUAGGGAAGAACAAAUGUGUAAGUAACUAUGCACGUCUUGACGGUACCUAAUCAGAAAGCCACGGCUAACUACGUG
rnacentral:rRNA from 1 species